rnacentral:rRNA from 1 species
GACGAACGCUGGCGGCGUGCUUAACACAUGCAAGUCGAACGGAAAGGCCCUUCGGGGUACUCGAGUGGCGAACGGGUGAGUAACACGUGGGUGAUCUGCCCUGCACUUUGGGAUAAGCCUGGGAAACUGGGUCUAAUACCGAAUAGGACCACGCGCUUCAUGGUGUGUGGUGGAAAGCUUUUGCGGUGUGGGAUGGGCCCGCGGCCUAUCAGCUUGUUGGUGGGGUAAUGGCCUACCAAGGCGACGACGGGUAGCCGGCCUGAGAGGGUGACCGGCCACAAUGGGACUGAGAUACGGCCCAGACUCCUACGGGAGGCAGCAGUGGGGAAUAUUGCACAAUGGGCGCAAGCCUGAUGCAGCGACGCCGCGUGAGGGAUGACGGCCUUCGGGUUGUAAACCUCUUUCAAUAGGGACGAAGCGAAAGUGACGGUACCUAUAGAAGAAGCACCGGCCAACUACGUG